CCUACGGGAGGCAGCAGUGGGGAAUAUUGCACAAUGGGGGAAACCCUGAUGCAGCGACGCCGCGUGAGUGAAGAAGUAUCUCGGUACGUAAAGCUCUAUCAGCAGGGAAGAAAAUGACGGUACCUGACUAAGAAGCCCCGGCUAACGACGUGCCAGCAGCCGCGGUAAUACGUAGGGGGCAAGCGUUAUCAGGAUUUACUGGGUGGAAAGGGAGCGUAGAGGGCAGCACAAGUCUGGAGUGAAAUCCCGGGGCUUAACCCCGGAACUGCUUGGGAAGUGUGCGGCUGGAGUGCAGGAGGGGUAAGCGUAAUUCCUAGUGUAGCGGUGAAAUGCGUAGAUAUUAGGAGGACCACCGGUGGCGAGGGCGGCUUACUGGACUGUAACUGACGUUGAGGCUCGAAAGCGUGGGGAGCAAACAGGAUUAGAUACCCUAGUAGUC
rnacentral:rRNA from 1 species